UCUGGGAUUAGAUACCCUGUUAUUAAAAAUGUAAAUUUAUAACUUAGGUAGUAAUAGUUAUGGUCUUGAAACUUAAAAAAUUUGGCGGUAUUUUAAUUUAUUCAGAGGAACCUGUUUUAUAAUCGAUAAUCCACGAUGGACCUUACUUAAAUUUGUUAUCAGUUUAUAUACCGUUGUUAUUAGAAUAUUUUAUUAGAAUUGUUAAUUUUCUUAAUUUUUUAUAGGAAAAUAUAUCAGAUCAAGGUGUAGCUUAUAUUUAAGUAAAAAUGGGUUACAAUAAAAUUAUUUAUAUGAAUUUAAAUUUUAAAUGUUUAUUGAAAUUGGAUUUGAAAGUAAAAUUAUAUAGAUUAAUAAUUUGAUUUUAACUCUAAAAUAUGCACAAAUCGCCCGUCACUCUCU
rnacentral:rRNA from 1 species